rnacentral:rRNA from 1 species
AAACAUUGCCUCAUGAAAAAUAAUAAGAGGUCAAUCCUGCCCGGUGACAAAAGUUAAACGGCCGCGGUACCCUGACCGUGCUAAGGUAGCGUAAUAAAUCGCCCUUUAAUUGUGGGCUCGUAUGAAUGGACAAACGAGAGAAACCCUGUCUCUUACAGUAAAAAUAAAAAUUAACCUUCAGGUGAAGAGGCCUGAUUUAAAUUAAAGGACAAGAAGACCCUGUAGAGCUUAGCUUAAUUCAAUUAAAAAUAUAAAAUUAAGCCUACUUUAAUUUAUUACUCUUAUUUAAGCUUAGCUGGGGCGGCUAAGGAAAAAACAUCUUCCAUUUUAAUACCACGGCUUAUACGCCAAACCUAAUUGACCCUAUAAAGAUCAAAAAACAAAGCUACCUCAGGGAUAACAGAUUAAUCCUUCUUGAGAGUUCGCAUUGACAGAAGGGCUUGACACCUCGAUGUUGGCUUAAGAUACCCAAUAAAUCCGCAACAGUUUAUAAAGGUAGGUUUGUUCAACCUUUAAAAUCUUACGUGAUC